GUGCUUGCUUCAGCGGCACAUAUACUAAAACUGGAAUGAUACAGAGAUUAGCACCACCCCUGCGCAAAGAUGAUACACAAAAUUGUGCAGCGUUCUAUAUUUUU
ensembl:snRNA RNU6-206P RNA, U6 small nuclear 206, pseudogene